rnacentral:rRNA from 1 species
GGGUUGUGAGGUUAAGCGACUAAGCGUACACGGUGGAUGCCCUGGCAGUCAGAGGCGAUGAAGGACGUGCUAAUCUGCGAUAAGCGUCGGUGAGGUGAUAUGAACCGUUAUAACCGGCGAUUUCCGAAUGGGGAAACCCAGUGUGUUUCGACACACUAUCAUUAACUGAAUCCAUAGGUUAAUGAGGCGAACCGGGGGAACUGAAACAUCUAAGUACCCCGAGGAAAAGAAAUCAACCGAGAUUCCCCCAGUAGCGGCGAGCGAACGGGGAGGAGCCCAGAGCCUGAAUCAGUGUGUGUGUUAGUGGAAGCGUCUGGAAAGGCGUGCGAUACAGGGUGACAGCCCCGUACACAAAAAUGCACAUAUUGUGAGCUCGAUGAGUAGGGCGGGACACGUGGUAUCCUGUCUGAAUAUGGGGGGACCAUCCUCCAAGGCUAAAUACUCCUGACUGACCGAUAGUGAACCAGUACCGUGAGGGAAAGGCGAAAAGAACCCCGGCGAGGGGAGUGAAAAAGAACCUGAAACCGUGUACGUACAAGCAGUGGGAGCCUCUUAAUGGGGUGACUGCGUACCUUUUGUAUAAUGGGUCAGCGACUUAUAUUCUGUAGCAAGGUUAACCGAAUAGGGGAGCCGAAGGGAAACCGAGUCUUAACUGGGCGUUAAGUUGCAGGGUAUAGACCCGAAACCCGGUGAUCUAGCCAUGGGCAGGUUGAAGGUUGGGUAACACUAACUGGAGGACCGAACCGACUAAUGUUGAAAAAUUAGCGGAUGACUUGUGGCUGGGGGUGAAAGGCCAAUCAAACCGGGAGAUAGCUGGUUCUCCCCGAAAGCUAUUUAGGUAGCGCCUCGUGAAUUCAUCUCCGGGGGUAGAGCACUGUUUCGGCAAGGGGGUCAUCCCGACUUACCAACCCGAUGCAAACUGCGAAUACCGGAGAAUGUUAUCACGGGAGACACACGGCGGGUGCUAACGUCCGUCGUGAAGAGGGAAACAACCCAGACCGCCAGCUAAGGUCCCAAAGUCAUGGUUAAGUGGGAAACGAUGUGGGAAGGCCCAGACAGCCAGGAUGUUGGCUUAGAAGCAGCCAUCAUUUAAAGAAAGCGUAAUAGCUCACUGGUCGAGUCGGCCUGCGCGGAAGAUGUAACGGGGCUAAACCAUGCACCGAAGCUGCGGCAGCGACACUAUGUGUUGUUGGGUAGGGGAGCGUUCUGUAAGCCUGUGAAGGUGGCCUGUGAGGGUUGCUGGAGGUAUCAGAAGUGCGAAUGCUGACAUAAGUAACGAUAAAGCGGGUGAAAAGCCCGCUCGCCGGAAGACCAAGGGUUCCUGUCCAACGUUAAUCGGGGCAGGGUGAGUCGACCCCUAAGGCGAGGCCGAAAGGCGUAGUCGAUGGGAAACAGGUUAAUAUUCCUGUACUUGGUGUUACUGCGAAGGGGGGACGGAGAAGGCUAUGUUGGCCGGGCGACGGUUGUCCCGGUUUAAGCGUGUAGGCUGGUUUUCCAGGCAAAUCCGGAAAACCAAGGCUGAGGCGU